GCGGAGAGCCCUUCUCUGCACGUGGGCAUUGAGUUCAUGUCCGAGCAGGGACGUAGAGCAGGGAAGGAGUAUUACUGCUUGGGCACCGAGGGCCAAACUUUAAAAGCGAAUUCAAGCUGAUAAUUAGUGAAAGUACAAAUCUGGCACGUGGCUGCUCCGUUUGGACCUAAAGCAAAUAAAGGCAUCUUGAGGAUGCACAUCGUUCAGGGCGAACAAACCCAGCUGGAAUACAGCCUGUGGGAUUUCAGCUUUCAGAAAAUGUUAGGACGUCUGUAGUACCUCCUCCAGGCAGUGAAACUGUUUCUUCUUUUGUCCUGCAAAAAUCACUUUGUGCAUGAAAGCCCCGUGGAGACUUGAGCACGGACAGUGCUAAGAAUCGAGGCAGGGGACAGGGUGCCAGUGCUGGUGGCAAACAUGCACCAAACCAGCACUGCACUGACGUCUGUGUGAUGCUGAAGAGCCAGAAUGUUGCACUUCAGUGAUUCUCCAGACCAAGCCUAUAUUGGGGAAUAAAUUCAGCACUGUUCUUCUGGUGGAAGGAGGAACGAGCAACGGAGAGAAGAACUCUCCCGCUGACAGCAGGCGGCUGGCACGAAGAGCACGGAAAAUCCAGCUCCCGUAAAAAGAAUAGAGGGCGAUGCGGCCACUGGAACGGCGCUCUGAAGUACUGCUGCACAGUGGAGAUAAAACAACGG